rnacentral:lncRNA from 1 species
GCCGUUGAUUCUUGGUCGAUCAUUCUUAGCUACGGGAAGAGCUAUGAUAGAUGUGCCGAAUGGAAGCGUCGUUUUUCACGCAGCUGAUGCGCAUGAGUCCUCUGUCUCUGUUCGUGUUAGGCGGUCUGUCACGCCUGCUGCGUUUGAUGUUCAUUGAGACCAUGAGGUACCGUCGAGCUCUAGACGUUAAAUUAAGCACUUGUUGGGAGGUAACCCAACUGUUUUUCUUUGUUUUGUUUUCCUUUCUUUUAGUUUCUUUUUUUGUUUCUUUUUGUUUCGUUUUGUUUCUUUGUUUUGUUUGGGUUUUUAGUGCAGUUGAGCUUGGAAGAUGCGGAAACUCGCGCUUUGUUCAUACCACCACCAUGGAGCAUAUUUUUCUGUGAGUAGUGACACACAUAUCAUCAUCCCUCCAAACUUAUUUUCGAACUUAUGUUCUGUAAUAAGUUUGGGGGAGGGGGGUGAGAGUAGAUAUGUGUAUCACUUUUAUUAUUUUUGUUGGCUUUAUUGUUUUAUCUUGCUUGGUUGGUGGUGUGUGUUUGAUUGUUGUUGAGAUGAUUAUUGCUCCAUUAGAUUUCUGGUGAGAUGCCAAUGAUGAUUUCUGUGAAAAAAAAUUGGAGUUUGAUUUUUCUUUGAUGAUUUAAGCAUAAUUGGAACUAAUUUGCAUAAUUCUAGAGUGAUUUUGACCUUGACUUUUGGACGUUGAAUAAACCUGUGAGUAUUUGAGCCAUAACUGUUUAUCAUACAC